GACGAACGCUGGCGGCGUGCUUAACACAUGCAAGUCGAACGGAAAGGCCCUGCUUUUGUGGGGUGCUCGAGUGGCGAACGGGUGAGUAACACGUGAGUAACCUGCCCUUGACUUUGGGAUAACUUCAGGAAACUGGGGCUAAUACCGGAUAGGAUCUCCUGCUGCAUGGUGGGGGUUGGAAAGUUUCGGCGGUUGGGGAUGGACUCGCGGCUUAUCAGCUUGUUGGUGGGGUAGUGGCUUACCAAGGCUUUGACGGGUAGCCGGCCUGAGAGGGUGACCGGCCACAUUGGGACUGAGAUACGGCCAAGACUCCUACGGGAGGCAGCAGUGGGGAAUAUUGCACAAUGGGCGGAAGCCUGAUGCAGCAACGCCGCGUGCGGGAUGACGGCCUUCGGGUUGUAAACCGCUUUCGCCUGUGACGCAGCGUGAGUGACGGUAAUGGGUAAAGAAGCACCGGCUAACUACGUG
rnacentral:rRNA from 1 species